UUCUCUCUAACACUCAAGCAUAUGGAAGACAAGGAGGCCUUUUAAGCGAUCAAGGCCUAAAAACCUAAACAAUAUCUACAGCAAAUACUCUUAAAAUAUAUCUCCAGCUCUUCUUAUGCCGCCAGAUGUGUUUGUGCACGUCUCUGGCCUUUAAGGAGCAUAUUGGAUAAAUCGAAGAAAGACAGGCACAGAGCUCGCGGACAUCUUUGUCCUUAUUGAUUUGUUCCUGUGAGGCCGACGUUCAGCAUUCAGGAGAAAAUCUGAACAAGCUUAUACACAGAAGAAAGACAGGCACAGAGCUCGCGGACAUCUUUGUCCUUAUUGAUUUGUUCCUGUGAGGCCGACGUUCAGCAUUCAGGAGAAAAUCUGAGCAAGCUUAUACACAGGUGAACCACUGGAAUACUAAUGAAAGCAGCCGAGAGUGAACGAGAACAUGGCCGAGUACAUGUACAGCAGAGGAGAAGCUAUGCUGUAGAGCGGAUGCUCAGGGAUGCAUCAUAGGCCUGACCUCGAACCACUCAGAGCGAGCUGAACCCACAUGGCCUGAGCUUCUAAUGCUAUGAAGAAGUAAUCUACUAGAUUCCUGUAUUUUGGAUGUAUACAUGGCUGAAUAUGUGCAGGUUGCAGGAUAAUGGAAGCCCCAUAAACACCCUCCAACCUAAAUGUGUGAGAGGAAGCCUGAAAAAUUAAA